rnacentral:rRNA from 1 species
CAAGCCGGUCGUAAUGCUGCUCGACUCACCCGCCCUCCUCGCGGACGCGGAAGGUGUGCGACUGUUCCAGUCCGGUGUGCGGGGGGUGCAGCAGGCCGUCGUCUCGA